rnacentral:rRNA from 1 species
GCGAACGCUGGCGGCAGGCCUAACACAUGCAAGUCGAGCGCCCGUAGCAAUACGGGAGCGGCAGACGGGAGAGUAACACGUGGGAACGUACCCUUCAGUUCGGAACAACCCAGGGAAACGUUGGGCUAAUACCGAAUACGUCCGUAAGGAGAAAGAUUUAUCGCUGAAGGAUCGGCCCGCGUCUGAUUAGCUAGUUGGUGGGGUAAUGGCCCACCAAGGCGACGAUCAGUAGCUGGUCNGAGAGGAUGAUCAGCCUCACUGGGACUGAGACACGGCCCAGACUCCUACGGGAGGCAGCAGUGGGGAAUAUUGGACAAUGGGCGCAAGCCUGAUCCAGCCAUGCCGCGUGGAUGAUGAAGGCC